AGUAACACGUGGGUAACCUGCCCAUCAGAAGGGGAUAACACUUGGAAACAGGUGCUAAUACCGUAUAACAAUCGAAACCGCAUGGUUUCGGUUUUGAAAGGACGCUUUUGCGUCACUGAUGGAUGGACCCGCGGUGCAUUAGCUAGUUGGUGAGGUAACGGCUCACCAAGGCAACGAUGCAUAGCCGACCUGAGAGGGUGAUCGGCCACAUUGGGACUGAGACACGGCCCAA
rnacentral:rRNA from 1 species